UACGUAGGGAGCAAGCGUUGUCCGGAAUCAUUGGGCGUAAAGCGCGCGUAGGUGGCCCCGUAAGUCCGCUGUGAAAGUCAAAGGCUCAACCUUUGAAAGCCGGUGGAUACUGUGGGACUAGAGUACGGAAGAGGCGAGUGGAAUUCCUGGUGUAGCGGUGGAAUGCGCAGAUAUCAGGAGGAACACCGAUGGCGAAGGCAGCUCGCUGGGACGGUACUGACGCUGAGGCGCGAAAGCGUGGGGAGCGAACAGG
rnacentral:rRNA from 1 species